UACGUAGGCGGAAAAUUAAGUCAGUAGUGAAAUCCUGCAGCUUAACUGUAGAACUGAUAUUGAUACUGGUUUUCUUGAAUAUAGUUGAGGUAGGCGGAAUGUGUAAUGUAGCGGUGAAAUGCUUAGAUAUUACACAGAACACCGAUUGCGAAGGCAGCUUACUAAGCUAUGAUUGACGCUGAGGUACGAAAGCGUGGGGAGCGAACAGGAUUAGAUACCCUGGUAGUCC
rnacentral:rRNA from 1 species